GACGAACGCUGGCGGCGUGCUUAACACAUGCAAGUCGAACGGAAAGGCCCCGCUUUUGUUGGGUGCUCGAGUGGCGAACGCGUGAGAAACACGUAAGUAACCUGUCUUUGGCUUAGAGACAACUUAAAGAAACUGGGGCUAAUACUGGAUAGUAGCUCGUGCUGGAUGGUGGGGGUUGGCAAGUUUGGGCGGUGGGGGAUGGGCUCGCGGCUUACCAGCUGGUUGGUGGAGUAGUGGCUUACCAAGGCUUCGACGGGUAGCCGGCCUGAGAGGGUGACCGGCAACAUUGGGAGAGAGCUACGGCCCAGAGUCCUGCGGGAGACUGCAGUAGGGAAGAUAGCACGAUGGAGCGAAGCCUGAUGCAGCAAGGCCGCGUGCGGGAUGAUAGCCUUCGGUUGGUUAACCGCAAUCGCCUGUGACGGAGCGUAGGUGACGGUAAUGGGUAAAGAAGCACCGGCUAACUACGUG
rnacentral:rRNA from 1 species